rnacentral:ncRNA from 1 species
CUUGGGGCAUCCCAUUUGCAGCGGUGGAGCAUGAACCAAAUUCAGGGUGGUAGAGGAGCAAAUGGUAGCAUAGCCUAGAAACAACUAGGAAGAUCAGAGAGGCCGAAAGAUUAGUAGGGAGUUUAGCACGACGAGAAGGAUCUUAUCCUUUCAAACAAUGUGUGUGUGUGUGCGCGCGCGUGUGUGUGAACAUGAGCUAGAAACAAGUAGGGAUAUCAAAGAGGCUAGAAGUGAGUAGCCGAAAGCAUCACUAGCUUACGCUUUGACCCGAGUAGCAUGGAGCACGUGGAAUCCUGUGUGGAUCAGCAAGGACCACCUUCCAAGGCAAAAUACUCCUGGGUGACCGAUAGCGAAGUAGUACCAUGAGGGAAAGGUGAAAAGAAUCCCCAAUGGGUAGUGAAAUAGAACGUAAAACCAUG